rnacentral:rRNA from 1 species
UACGUAGGGAGCAAGCGUUAUCCGGAAUUACUGGGUGUAAAGGGUGCGUAGGCGGGAUGUAAAGUCAGAUGUGAAAUACCGAGGCUCAACUUCGGGGCUGCAUUUGAAACUUACAUUCUUGAGUGAAGUAGAGGCAAGCGGAAUUCCCAGUGUAGCGGUAAAAUGCGUAGAUAUUGGGAGGAACACCAGUGGCGAAGGCGGCUUGCUGGGCUUUAACUGACGCUGAGGCACGAAAGCAUGGGUAGCAAACAGGAUUAGAUACCCUGGUAGUCCAUGCCGUAAACGAUGGAUACUAGGUGUGAGGGGUACUGACCCCCCUCGUGCCGCAGUUAACACAAUAAGUAUCCCACCUGGGGAGUACGGCCGCAAGGCUAAA